rnacentral:misc_RNA from 1 species
GGCACCGGAUCGAAUUCGAUACUGACCGAUCGGCUUCGAGUGUCCGUCUCAGAUCUUGCCCCUGAGACGGAGAUCGACAUCGAGCUGGUCUGCGAUUGCCCCGUCGUCGUAUCCGUCACCGUACAAUAGACGCCGAUCUGCUGGAGAUACGACGGGAUUUGCGAUGCAUUGAGCUGGUAUUCGUCGGUUCCCAGCACUCCAUUCAAAGUCGGGAUGCCCGUCUUCAAAACCGCGUCGGAAGAGCCUGAAAAGGUCCAUUUCGUUGUGAAGGAAUGAGUGGGAUUAGGAUUGAUGAAUGUCGCCUUGAGGAGCACCGACCAGUCGGGAGUGAUCGUCUGGACUGGUGGAGUGAUGACCAGAUUCGUGAUUCCCAUCCCGACUUCGACGGCCGUUGUGGCUGAUCCGGAUCGGCCCUGGUUGUCCGUGGCUGUCAGAAUGUAGGUGUAGAGUCCCGCGGAAAGACUGUAGUCGGGAAAGGCGCCGACCCACAUGCCAUUCUGCAGGACUGGUUGCGUCGUGAUGCUGUACGGAUAGCCUCCGGGCUGUUUCAGAGUCCACGUAAACGUCACCGUCGCAUUCGGGUCGGGAUCGCCUACCAUCCCUACCACGAUGUCAUGCUGACCGCUGGCGACCCUGGGAGCGGUCGGAGUCAGCAGGACAUUGAGCACCGAACUGCUGCUUGAGCUGCUCGACGCCGGCACGCCGGGGACUGAACCGGGAGGGGGGACUGCGGUGAUGAUCAGCGUCGCCACCGCGCUGGCGCUCACGCCCGUGUUGUCGGUCACGACGUAGGUGAUCGUGUACGUGCCGGCCUGCGUCGGCGUGAACUGGAAGGAAUCGCUGCCAAUUCCGUUGAUAACCGUCGGGUGCCCGGCCGUUGUGGAACCCGUCUGCCCGGUGAUGAUCCAACUCGCUGUGACCGAGGCCUGAGCAUCGAGAUCGACGAAAGCCGCGUUCAACAGAACCGGUUGAUUGACCGUUCCGGUGGCGUUUGGCGGAGUGAUCGCUACUGAGUUCGGCCCGCGAACCUGAUACGUGAAUCGAUCCGCAGCGGUCACGGCCGACCAGCCACCCGGCGUGAUCACCCUCACAUCAACUGUGCCGGCUCCCUGCUCGGGCGCCGUCACGGUAAUUGACGUGGAGGAAUUCACAACGAACGUUGUCGUUUCGACCGAACCGAAGCGGACGAACGUCGUCCCCGCCAGAUCGGUCCCCGUGAUCGUAACGCUUGUUCCCCCGCUGAUCGGGCCGCUGGAGGUGCUGAGCGAGGUGAUGACCGGCAGCGGCAGUACAUAGGUGAACGAAUCGGACCAGGUGAUUGCCGAUGUUCCACCGGGAGUUGUCACGGUGAUGUCGACCGUUCCUGCGGCAUGCGCAGGGGAGACGACGGUGAUCGACGUGUCGGAAUUCACGGUGAACGAUGUCGCCGCCGUCGUUCCGAACUUAACUGCGGUGGUUCCGGUCAGAUUGCUCCCGUUAAUCGUGAUGCUCGUUCCCCCCGCGAUGGGGCCGCUCGUCUUUGUCGAGGAAGUAAUCACCGGCAUCGCGGCCUGAUACAUAAAGUUCGUCGCACUGCUCGUCGCCGAGGUUCCUCCGGGAGUCGUGACAAUGACGUCGACGAUUCCCGCAGUAUGCGCCGGCACCAUCGCCGACAUCGAGGUCGGUGAGUUCAAGUAAAAAUAGGUGGCGGCCGUUCCACCAAACGUCACGGAGGUCGCCCCGGUGAAGUUCGUACCGGUGAUCUGCACCCAGCCUCCGCCGGCCGUGGGGCCACUGGCUGGACUCAGGCCCGUGACGGUCGGCGCCGAAGCCGUCGUCUGGUAGGUAAAUCGAUCGGCCGUGACAAUCGCCGAGGUGCCGGCCGGUGUGGUGACCGUGAUGUCAACCACUCCCGCGGCAUGCGCGGGCGCGGUGGCGAUGAUCAACGUGGGCGAAUAAACCGUGAACGUUGCCGCCGUGCCGCCGAAGGAAACGACCGUGGCGCCCGUGAAGUUCGUGCCGUUGAUCGUGACGCUCGUUCCGCCGGCUGUUGAUCCGCUGGUUGUCGUGAGGCUGGUCACCGUCGGGACCGAGACGCUUCCCGUGUAGGUGAACAUAUCGGCGAGACUGACCGCCGACGUACCGGUGGCCGUCGUGACGGUGACGUCGACAGCGCCGGGCGCAUGGGCGGGCGCCGUCGCUGUGAUCGAGGUGGCCGAGUUCACGACAAACGUCGCCGACACGUUGCCGAACUUCACGCUCGAAACGUCGGUGAAAUUCGUGCCCGUGAUGACGACACUCGUCCCCCCGGCCGCGGCGCCGCUGGAGGUGUUCAGGGCGGUGACGGUGGGAGCUCCCGGGAUGCCUGAUACGUGAAUCGGUCGCCGACGUUCGUGAC